rnacentral:rRNA from 1 species
UACAGAGGGGGCAAGCGUUAUUCGGAAUUAUUGGGCGUAAAGAGCUCGUAGGCGGUUUGUCGCGUCUGCUGUGAAAACUGGAGGCUCAACCUCCAGCCUGCAGUGGGUACGGGCAAACUAGAGUGCGGUAGGGGAGAUUGGAAUUCCUGGUGUAGCGGUGGAAUGCGCAGAUAUCAGGAGGAACACCAGUGGCGAAGGCGGUUGCCUGGGGCUUUGCUGACGCUGAUGCGCGAAAGCGUGGGGAGCGAUCCGG